AAAAACAACAAAUAAAAAAGAAAAAGAGCCUUGUGGAUAACAGCCGAACCCUGGGACAUUCAGCUGCCUGACACUCACCAGAGCAGAUUCGGUGAAGAAACAACAUCCACGGUGUGUUUGUUUCUGUGCCUAAAGCUGAGAUUAACCAGCUGUCUACUGAAGAAACUGCAGGAAACACUUUAACUGAUGUCUGAAGCGACUUCAUUUGUCCUCAUUUCUAGCCUACAUCUUCUCCAUUCUGAAGCUGUGCUCCUGUGAACCUGCAGAUCUGUGUGUCUCCACAAGCUGAGGUAGUAGGUUGUAUAGUUUGUGGGAAGGAUCUCAUCCUAUUCAGGUGAUAACUAUACAGUCUAUUGCCUUCCUUGAGAGACACAAUGAAUGAGAGUAAAAACACAUCAUUAUAAACAAUGAGAGACAGAGUGACUUUAACCGAUCUACUUGUAAAUGUUAAAAGUAAAACUGGUCAAUAAAAAAACUAAUAUUAUUUAA